UAAAGAUAUUGUUCUGUAAAAGGGUUGGACCCGACGCCCCUAGAAGGCUACUAUAGGCUCUCCUUCUCAACUCCUACUCAAUACGUCCAC
rnacentral:ribozyme from 1 species